CCUACGGGUGGCAGCAGUGGGGAAUAUUGGACAAUGGGCGAAAGCCUGAUCCAGCCAUGCCGCGUGUGUGAAGAAGGCCUUCGGGUUGUAAAGCACUUUCAGUGGGGAAGAAAGCCUUGGGGCUAAUACCCUCGAGGAAGGACAUCACCCACAGAAGAAGCACCGGCUAACUCCGUGCCAGCAGCCGCGGUAAUACGGAGGGUGCGAGCGUUAAUCGGAAUUACUGGGCGUAAAGCGCGCGUAGGCGGUCUGAUAAGCCGGUUGUGAAAGCCCCGGGCUCAACCUGGGAACGGCAUCCGGAACUGUCAGGCUAGAGUGCAGGAGAGGAAGGUAGAAGUCCCGGUGUAGCGGUGAAAUGCGUAGAGAUCGGGAGGAAUACCAGUGGCGAAGGCGGCCUUCUGGACUGACACUGACGCUGAGGUGCGAAAGCGUGGGUAGCAAACAGGAUUAGAUACCCCAUAGUC
rnacentral:rRNA from 1 species